AUGGGGAAAAUGGGAAGACCAGUGAAGCUGAUGAGCAUAAGCCCACUGUCACACUGCUUUAGCCAUAAAAUGGGGUCUUGCUCUGUCACUCAACUGAAGCACCUUGACAUGAUCUUGGCUCACUGCAACCUCCACCUCCUAUGUUCAAGCAAUUCUCCUACAUCAUCCUCCUUAGCUAGGACUACAGACAUAGGCCACCACACCCAGCCAGCUUAUUUCUUUGUCCAUUUUUUCAUUGAGUUUUUUCUCAUAUUGUUAUCAGAUAAAUGAUUUGCAAAUACUCUUUGCCAAUCUAUAUACUUUUUUCUCAUUUUUGGUAAUCUCUUUUGAUGCACAAAGGAUUUUAAUUUUCUUGAAGCCCAAUUUACGCACUUUUUAAUUUUUAUUGUUUAUAUUUUUGGUGUCAUUUCAGGGAAUUCAUUGCCAAAUUAAAAUCAUGAAGAUUUAUGCUUAUAUCUUCUUCUGUGCUUGUUUUAGUUUUUGUUGGCUAUUAAUCUACGUUGAACUAGCUUCUGUAUAUAGAGUGAGGUAGAGGUCUGAACACAUUGUUUUGCCUCUGGAUAUCCAAUAUUCCCAGAACCAUAUGUUGAAGAUACUAUUAUUUCCCCACUGUAUGGUCUUGUAACCUUUGCUCAAAACCAAUUGGCAAGAGAUGUAUAGCUUUAUUCCUGACUCUUAAUUUAUUACUACUCAUCUAUAUAUUAAUUCUUAUGCCAGUAUCACAUUGUUUUGAUAACUAUAGUUCUGUAGUAAGCUUUUAGAUCAAAAAAUCUGAGUCUUUAGACUUUACUAUUUUUUGAAUUAAUUUUGUCUAUUUGGGUUCCAACCGGAAUUGUGGAUUACCUUUUCCAGUUCUGCACAAAAUGGCAUGGAUAUGUUAACAGAGAUUACAUUGAAUCUGUAGAUUAUUUUGGGCAAUACUGGUACUUAAUAUUAAGCCUUCCAGUUUAUGAACAAAAAAUGUCUUUUAUUUAAAUCUUUUCCAAUUUCUGUCAACAAUGUUUUAUAAUUUCCAGUCUACAACUCUUUCACUGUCCUCUUUAAAUUUAUUCUUUUGUAUGCUAUUACUUGGAAUUCUUAGAAUUGAAAUCAUUUUUUACUUCCUUUUUAGAUUGCUCAUUGCUGAUAUAUGAAAACAAAACAUUUUUGAGUUGUCAAUUAUGUUCUGAAAUUUUGCUAAAUUUCUUUAACUUAUAGUUUUGUGGAUUCUUUGAGGUUUUCUGUGUACAAGAUUAUGUCUUAUGUGAAUAUAAUUUGAAUUCUUUUCUAAUCUGGAUGUUUUUUAUUUCUUAUUCUUGCCUAAUUAGGCUCAACAGAAUUUGCCAUA
ensembl:lncRNA